rnacentral:rRNA from 1 species
AGUGAACGCUGGCGGUAGGCCUAACACAUGCAAGUCGAACGGCAGCACAGUAAGAGCUUGCUCUUACGGGUGGCGAGUGGCGGACGGGUGAGGAAUACAUCGGAAUCUACUUUUUCGUGGGGGAUAACGUAGGGAAACUUACGCUAAUACCGCAUACGACCUACGGGUGAAAGCAGGGGAUCUUCGGACCUUGCGCGAUUGAAUGAGCCGAUGUCGGAUUAGCUAGUUGGCGGGGUAAAGGCCCACCAAGGCGACGAUCCGUAGCUGGUCUGAGAGGAUGAACAGCCACAUUGGAACUGAGACACGGUCCAGACUCCCACGGGAGGCAGGAGUGGGGAAAAUUGAGCAAUGGGCGCAAGCCUGUUCCAGCCAUACCGCGUGGGUGAAGAAGGCCUUCGGGUUGUAAAGCCACUUUGUUGGGAAAGAAAAGCAGCAGGUUAAUACCCCGCUGUUCUGACGGUACCCAAAGAAUAAGCACCGGCUAACUUCGU